rnacentral:lncRNA from 1 species
AAAAACAAAGACAACAGAGAGACUCAUCCUGGAAGCUCUCUUCUCAGAUGACUGUGCUCUCAUGGCCCACCACGAAAAUCAUCUCCAAACCAUUGUGGACAGGUUCUCCACCACAACAAAACUGUUUGGCCUGACUAUCAGCCUCAGCAAAACAGAGGUGCUGCUCCAACCUGCACCAGGGAGGCCAACGAACCAGCCGUGCAUUACAAUCGACGGCACGCAGCUUUCUAACGUCAACACUUUCAAGUACCUGGGCAGCACCAUCGCCAACGACGGGUCUCUAGACCACGAGAUCAAUGCCAGGAUCCAAAAGGCCAGCCAGGCCCUCGGGCGGCUGCGCUGCAAAGUCCUCCAACACAGCGGUGUAAGCACUGCGACGAAGCUCAAAGUGUAUAACGCAGUGGUCCUCAGCUCGCUCCUGUACGGUUGUGAGAUAUGGACACUGUACCGGAAGCACAUGAAACAGCUGGAGCAAUUCCACCAACGCUCUCUCCGGUCAAUCAUGAGGAUACGAUGGCAGGACCGAAUCACCCACCAGGAAGUCCUCGACAGAGCCAACUCCACCAGCAUCGAAGUCCUGGUCCUCCAAACCCAGCUACAAUGGUCUGGACACGUCAUCCGCAUGGACCCACAGCGAAUACCAAGACAGGUAUUCUAUGGUGAACUGUCAGCUGGACUCAGGAAACAAGGCCGACCAAAGAAAAGAUUCAAGGAUCAGCUAAAGUCCAACUUGAAGUGGGCUGGCAUCACACCAAAGCAACUAGAACUCGCUGCCUCUGACAGAAGCAGCUGGUGAGCCCACAUUCACCAUGGCGCCACCACCUUUGAAGAUGAGUGACGUCAACGUCUGUGUGUGAACGCCGACACCAGGCCACAACCGCACCUCCCGUAACAACGGGCGUCCCAGGCCCCAUGUGCCACAAACUGUGCGCCUCAGCCUUUGGACUGCAAAGCCACAUGAGGGUACACCGUAGAUGAAACUGCACAAAGACAAUCAUCAUUCUCGG